GCACAACAACUUCCGCGGCAACUCCGCCGCCGGCGGCCGGUCCCGGUCCCGGCGUUCCGCUGCACUCCCACAGUCCCACCUCUGCGUCCGCGGGGACGGGGUAGCCCUACUGAGCUUCGCAGCCUAACAAGUUUCUUGCCACCAGGUAGGCGCUUCCUACCUGCGGUUCCCUCGUUUCAGGAUGCUGGAUUUUGCAUCCUGCUAGCACUGGCUCUGGCUCUGGCUUUGAGCGAGCAAUAAGGUAACUAGCCAACCCACGGGACCCCUUACUCUGUUUUAUUUUGCCAACAUUCGUCACUCUAUUCUUCAAUCUGCCUGAUUCUGAGUAGACAUUAUUGCUUUCGUGGGAUCCUUUCCGCCUGAGGUGCUCGCAGGCAAAGGUUUAUUUUUUUUCUCUCAGGAGACAAAAACGUUCCUCUGAAUGUUGCUGUGGCUUUGGAGAAAAUAGCUAUUAUAGGACUCUAAUCGUGCGGCUUCUUCGAAAUAGGAUUCUUAACGUUUGUUUAUCUGAAAUAGGACUCUAAACGUUGAUAAUAAGCUGUAAUGACAUUUUGUGUCUUUUUCAUUUCUUUUUUUAUCUAAAUACAUGUAUUUGUUCCUAAAAUGACCCUUUUAUCCUUCAGUCAUUAAACUGUUAUGGUAGUCUCCAUUACAGAAAAAAAAACAUCAUAGCUUCCUGGCCUGUGUGUUGCCUUGUCCAGCUUAUUUUUUUUUAAUAAACUGAUGCCUUGCUGCCAUGCCGCCAUGGUCGUGGCUGCCGUGCUGGCUGGCCAUGGUCAUGGCAAAUAUUGGAUGUCGGCCAGGUAUCUCGCGCUGCUAGUGCUUCGCGCUGCCUGCAGCCUGAUGUCCAGGCAGAGAUCGCCAGCCACUGUUGGGGGCUCGGCUGAUUUUGGGGAUUGUAACGGAGGGUGAGAGUACCAAGACCGAAAGCAGGUAAGACGGGUGUUGUGCCGUGCCAACUAGAUCACACAUCUGCUGAUCUGCCUAAUCCAAUCGGUCUUGGAGUGUCACCUGAAAUGUUUCACGCUUAAAAAUCGAGUAAGAAUCACUUUAGCAAAAUUGUAUGGAUAACAUGCUAGAUCUUGGCGAAAAACAAUUCGGCUCUAAUUAACAAGCUUAAAUUACAAAUUCAACUGAGCUAAAAUUGAGCCGAACUUGAUACUCGCACUGCUCGAGGGCUAGAGAUCCUUUCACAUCUGUAAAUGACAAGUGACCCACUGUACAUAAGCUUGUUUGUUUGUUCAUGCAUCUCUAUUGCUCCGGCUUCUUGUCUCUGGCCUUCUGCAUGUCCACCAUCUUUAAUUUCUCCUUGAGGCAAGAUGUCAUCUGAAUCACCACCAUCUUUAAUUUCUCCUUGUGGCAAGAUAUUAUCUGAAUCACCAUUUUCAUGUUCUACUUGUUUGCUUUUGCAGAAAUAAAUUGUUAAGGCGACCACAAGAGAGGUGGUUGAGGCAACUCCAGUGGCAAUAGUCGGUCCUGCGAAACUGUCAAAGGUGAGUGUACCUGAACCAGAGAUGGUGCCCACAUUUUGGCAGUUGUUUUGAUCUCCUAUCCAUUUCUUCUCAAUCCGAGUUAUAGUGUCUCCCCCUGUUAUGUUGAGGAUUGCUUGUGAGAUGUCACCUAUUAUUGGCGAUCCCUUCUGAAGUGCCUGUGGAAGAAGGUGCCCGUGUAAAAAACAUGACCCAACUAAGACUAUUAUGCAUCAUUGUGGAAACUAGAAUAAAGAUGAAUCUGAACUUGGUUAUGCCAAAGUAAUUUUAAUAAACAUAGCUAAACUUACAUAUCCAAAACCUGCAUUCUUAUAUAUUGGUCCAACCAUGGUGUAUCCCUUGCAAUGCUCCGCAAGGAAUAAUUUGAGGUAUGGGAUUUCAUCCACAAGGGCAGCAACACCACCAUUCUUGCAUCCUCUGGAAAGCUCAUCAUGAAACUCUUCAGGGCUUUCAUAGGGCUUGAUCUUUGAUACCUCAAAGCCUAUUUCUUCCAAAAGAUCCUUGAUGUAGGAACCAUGAGGAUACCCAACACAUUCUCCAGCUUUGAGAAGUUCUUCGACAUUUGUUACAGUUGGGUAGAGCUGUUGAACAGUUAGCAUGGAUGUCAAGCUUGCAGUGUAGCUUGACUUGAGUACCAGAAGGAAAAACAGCCAUAUGACCAACACGAUCCGAGAGAUAAGGCGUUUCACCUUCUCUUCUGCAGAGAGUUAACAUACUUUUCAGAUAGUAUAAAUCAAAGUUAAAAAGUACAUAGUUCAUAAUGUCCAGAUUUGCUAAUCUUUACAUGCAUACGGUGAUAUAAUGCCAAUAUAUUCCUUCUUGCAUCUGUAAAAUUUUGUAUUGGCUUGAUAGUUCUCAGCACAACUGCACAAUAUUUGUCCCUGUUUGAUCACAUCUGUGCUGUAAGACAUCAGACAUGUCUUAUGGACUCUGUGCAUUUGGUGGAAACCAUAUAACAUUACACAUUAUUUUUCUGAGUUGUGAAAGCUUGUGCAUGGCAUUAACUAGGUAUGAAAAAGGUGUAUCAACUUGAUCAUUAUGCUAUAUCUAUCCAAAAAUUUACUAGAAAAAGAGUUACACUAAGGCACUCACUCUCUUCAAACAGGGAAAAAUAUAUCAUCGUAGCUAGCUGUCGGGGAACUGGACCAUGAAUGUUCUUGUUGUUGCCUAGAAGCUCUAAAAACCAUAUCACAAUGCCUGUGUAGAUAAAGAGUAUUAUG
rnacentral:lncRNA from 1 species